GAUGAAGAACGUAGCGAAAUGCGAUAAGUAAUGUGAAUUGCAGAAUUCAGUGAAUCAUCGAAUCUUUGAACGCACCUUGCGCCCUUUGGACAUUCCGAAGGGCAUGCCUGUUUGAGUAUCAUGAACACCUCAACUCUCACGGCUUGUCCGUGAUGAGCUUGGACUUUGGGGGUCUUGCCGGCCUGUGGUCGGCUCCUCUCAAAUGGAUCAGCUUGCCAGUGUUUGGUGGCAUCACAGGUGUGAUAACUAUCUGCGCUUGUGGUUUUCCAUCAGAUAACCUUCAGUGAUAUGGAGGCUCGCUGGAGCUCACAAAUGUCUCUCCUUAGUGAGGACAGCUCUUUGAACGUUUGAUCUCAAAUCAGGUAGGACUACCCGCUGAACUUAAGCAUAUCAAUAAGCGGAGGA
rnacentral:misc_RNA from 1 species